rnacentral:rRNA from 1 species
AGUGAACGCUGGCGGUAGGCCUAACACAUGCAAGUCGAACGGCAGCACAGGAGAGCUUGCUCUCUGGGUGGCGAGUGGCGGACGGGUGAGGAAUACAUCGGAAUCUACUUUUUCGUGGGGGAUAACGUAGGGAAACUUACGCUAAUACCGCAUACGACCUACGGGUGAAAGCAGGGGACCUUCGGGCCUUGCGCGAUUGAAUGAGCCGAUGUCGGAUUAGCUAGUUGGCGGGGUAAAGGCCCACCAAGGCGACGAUCCGUAGCUGGUCUGAGAGGAUGAUCAGCCACACUGGAACUGAGAAACGGUCCAGACUCCUACGGGAGGAAGCAGUGGGGAAUAUUGGACAAUGGGCGCAAGCCUGAUCCAGCCAUACCGCGUGGGUGAAGAAGGCCUUCGGGUUGUAAAGCCCUUUUGUUGGGAAAGAAAUCCAUCUGGUUAAUACCCGGGUGGGAUGACGGUACCCAAAGAAUAAGCACCGGCUAACUUCGUGCCAGCCGCCGCAGUAA